UACGAGAGGCGCAAACGUUAUUCGGAAUUACUGGGCUUAAAGAGUUCGUAGGCGGCGCAGCAAGUAGGGUGUGAAAGCCCUCGGCUCAACCGAGGAAUUGCGCUCUAAACUACUGUGCUUGAGGGACCUAGAGGUGAGCGGAACUGAUGGUGGAGCGGUGAAAUGCGUUGAUAUCAUCAGGAACACCGGAGGCGAAGGCGGCUCACUGGGGGUCUUCUGACGCUGAGGAACGAAAGCCAGGGGAGCGAACGGG
rnacentral:rRNA from 1 species